CACCCUUACGGAUGCAGGAGGGCUCGUCACGCAGCGCCCAGCACAGCCCCAGUGGGGAGCCAGCGGGCCACGCGGGUCUCAAGCCCAUGGCGCGGCCCCUUUAAAUGCAAAUCCACCGGCGGCCAUCGGGGGCAGCACUGAGCGGCCGGACGGCCUCCGCGCCGCUGCCUCGAAGCUUCUGCCGGUGCCGGGGACGCGGCGCGGAUGCGCCCGGGACGCGGUGGAGCGGGGGACGACGGGUGGGCCUGGGCCUGCGCAGCCCAUUGAGCUCCGCGGGAGAGCAGCGCCCAGGUGCUUCUGACGCCGGCAUGGAGCAAGUGCCUGUGGCCUCAGCCAAGGCCCAAAAUCAGGGCUGCUCUGCCCACUGCGCCCCAGGUAAGUCGGGCCAGCGCGUGUGUGUAGCCGGGCCUGGGAUGCGAAGGGGCAGCCCUGACCCGUGUCUCCCACCAGGGCGAAAGCCCCACAAGGCCGAGUGAGCUGCAGCAGCCAUUCUGGGAACCUCUUUUAAGAUGACCCGCACGGACCCGCCAGACCUGUUGGUGUCGACCGUGUACCAGGACAUCAAAGUGGCGGCCCCAGGGCCCGCGUCCAGGCGCCCGCCAUAUGAGCGCCCCGUGGCCCGGCCUGCUGCGCCCGCGCCUUUCAACAAGCGCCACUGCCGCAGCUUCGACUUCCUGGAGGCGCUGGACGGGGCGGCCAUGGAGGCUCUCCCUGAGCCGCCGCCCACGGAGCCCCCGGGGCCCCGCGCCCGGCCCCGCGAC
rnacentral:lncRNA from 1 species